rnacentral:rRNA from 1 species
CCUACGGGUGGCUGCAGUAGGGAAUCUUCCACAAUGGGCGAAAGCCUGAUGGAGCAACGCCGCGUGGGUGAAGAAGGUCUUCGGAUCGUAAAACCCUGUUGUUAGAGAAGAAAGUGCGUGAGAGUAACUGUUCACGUUUCGACGGUAUCUAACCAGAAAGCACCGGCUAACUACGUGCCAGCAGCCGCGGUAAUACGUAGGUGGCAAGCGUUAACCGGAUUUAUUGGGCGAAAAGGGAACGCAGGCGGUCUGUUAAGUCUAAUGUGAAAGCCUUCGGCUUAACCGGAGUAGUGCAUUGGAAACUGGGAGACUUGAGUGCAGAAGAGGAGAGUGGAACUCCAGGUGUAGCGGUGAAAUGCGGAGAUAUAUGGAAGAACACCAGUGGCGAAAGCGACUCUCUGGUCUGUAACUGACGCUGAGGUGCGAAAGCGUGGGUAGCAAACAGGAUUAGAUACCCGUGUAGUC